UGAUUACAAUGUUGGCGUUUAGUAAUUAUUUACAAUGUAAUCCGAGAUGUCCAGAAAAACACAUUUUUAGACGAAAAUGUAAGUCUAGGAAAAAAAUCCGAGCAAACAUUCUUUAGAAAAAAGAAGAAAUUAAAAAAUGACAUCCAAAUAAUCAUAAUUUUCAUCCUCCGGUGAAACGGAAUUUUCAAAAACAAAUUAAAUUAUAAUUAUUGUUUCACGAACUUGGAAGAUGAAGUAGAGUUCCCUUAUUUCUUUUGGCUCGGCAUUUGAAAUGGUUAUGUCAUCAUCUCCCUGCAUUUGGGCUUUAAUUAAAAGGAACUGGAAUAUUUGAAUCUAGAUGAAAUUCAACAUUGCUGUUCAGGUAUUAAUUUGUAAAAUUAAAGAUUGAUCAAAUGCUUGGCUACAAAACGUCUAAGCAGUAUCAGAGAGCUUUUGGUUGAUGAAGUGCGAUGGAUCAAGUGACGCCUUAGUUCUUUAUGUGCAUGAAGUGCCGUCUCAAUUAUUGCGGCAAUUCAUGAGAUAGUGGCGCUUCUAUUACUGUGAAUCAAGUAGUGCUUCUAUUUUUGUGGUGAAACAAUAGUACCUCUAUGUUUGUGAUGGAUCAAGCAGUUCUCCUACGUUUUUAAAGCAUCAGU